rnacentral:misc_RNA from 1 species
ACACCUCAACUCUUUAUGGUUUUCCAUGAAGGGCUUGGACUUUGGGGGUCUUGCUGGCCUUUAGUCAGCUCCUCUCAAACGAAUCAGCUUUCCAGUGUUUGGCAGCGUCACAGGUGUGAUAACUAUCUACGCUUGUGGUUUUCUGCCAGGUAAUCCUCAGUGAUGGGGAUUCGCUGGGGCUUAUAAAUGUCUCUCCUCAGCGAAGACAGCUUUGUGAAC